rnacentral:rRNA from 2 species
CCAAGGAGUUCAGCGUGCACGCGAGUCAUUGGGUGGUCAAACCUAAAGGCGAAAUGAAAGUGAAGGAAACUUCCGUUUCUGAGGGAGGAUGAGUCGGUUACCCGCAAGGGGCCGCUCCGCACUCCCGGGGCGUCUCUUUCUCAUUGCGAGUGGAGGCGCACCCAGAGCGUACACGCUGAUACCCGAAAGAUGGUGAACUAUGCCUGGCCAGGACGAAGCCAGGGGAAACCCUGGUGGAGGUCCGCAGCGAUUCUGACGUGCAAAUCGAUCGUCGGAGCUGGGUAUAGGGGCGAAAGACCAAUCGAACCAUCUAGUAGCUGGUUCCCUCCGAAGUUUCCCUCAGGAUAGCUUGCGCUCAUGCGAACGAGUCUCAUCCGGUAGAGCGAAUGAUUAGAGGCCUUGGGGUCGAAACGACCUCAACCUAUUCUCAAACUCCAAAUAGAUGAGAACUCCGGCUUCCUUGAAACAUUUCUAAUGAAGCCGGGGGCUCGGAUCAGAGUGCCAAGUGGGCCAAUUUU